CACCAAUCACGCCUGGCGUGGUAUUGGGCGACGGGGCCGUCACACGCCCCGCGCCCCAAUGACCCCGGCGGGACGGACCGAAUCUCAGCGUUGUGAUUUCUCAAGUCGCUGGCGAGACGGGACGGCCGUGCCGUUAAACAACCCCUUUGUAA
rnacentral:misc_RNA from 2 species